rnacentral:rRNA from 1 species
UGCCAGCCGCCGCGGUAAUACGGAGGGGGCGAGCGUUAUUCGGAAUUACUGGGCGUAAAGGGAGCGUAGGCGGUUUUGCAAGUCAGAAGUGAAAGGCUACGGCUCAACCGUAGUAAGCUUUUGAAACUGCAAGACUAGAGUGCAGGAGAGGCAAGUGGAAUUCCUAGUGUAGAGGUGAAAUUCGUAGAUAUUAGGAGGAACACCAGUGGCGAAGGCGGCUAACUGGCUCGGUACUGACGCUGAGAUGCGAAAGCGUGGGGAGCAAACAGGAUUAGAUA